AUGGCUGAUGCUUGGGUCUACUUGAGGGGAUCUGUGCUCAGGGAGAGCAUCCCCAUGUCACUAAGGAGACAGCCAUUGUGGAGGUGUGGAGAGGCAACUCCAAGGACUUUCCACAGUCAGUUUUUGUCCCUCCCAGUCUUGCCUCUGUCCUCAGGUCAGAAGCAUGCCAAUGGCAUCAGGAUUAGGACUGUCUCCCCAGUGGGGGGAAAUGAAGUAAGAACAAAGGUGAGAAGGACGCAACUGCACACAGCCAGUCCAGGAGCAGAGGUUUCCUGCAUGAGAGGAUGGAUUGGAAGAGUUUAUAGUGUUUGAGAUUGCCACCUUCUCUACCUCAAAAGUCUCAAGGAAGUGGAAAACUUUUGCUCUUCUCACAGCAUCUUAUUCUCUGGCCUCAAAUGUGCUGCAGCAUCUGCAAAGUCUUCCUUGCAGGGUUAGAAAUAAGAACUCUAUGCCCUUGAAAGGAAGGAAACUUCCUCAAAGCCCACGUGAAUUUCAGUUUGGACCCUGCAGCCUCUGCCUGGUGUUGAGAUAAUGGACUUAGAAAGUUUGAACAUGAAGUUAUGAGUGUUACAUGGGCUCUCUGCAGAAGUUCUGGGGGCUGCCUGUGAUGGCACAGUUGGGCUGAUGGUAACUGAAGCACAGACUUUGUGGGUGAAGGAACGUGAAAAACAGCAUCCAUAAAAUGAGGCUAUUUUACAGUGUUGUUUUUUUUUCUUCCUUCCCCUCAAGGAUCAGAAUCUGGUUUAAGGGAAGCCUAUGGUAAAAUCAUAGAAUUAUAGAACCAUAGAAUGGCUUAGGUUGGAAGAAAUCCAGUCCCAACCCUCUGCUGUGGGCUGGUUGCCCCCCACCAGCUCAGGCUGCGUAGGGCCCCGUUCAGGGCCUUGGGCACCUCCAGGGAUGGGGCACCCACAGCUCUCUGGGCAAAAAUAGAGCUUCUCAGACAAGUACUCCAAAACCAGGCAAUGCCUAUCUGAUGGCAACGUCUGCCCCAGUGUCUUGGUUACAUUCCAAGCAGUAUUUUGUAUGUGAGUGCAUAUGUACCUCUUGCCCACUUGCUUGCAACAUCUAUCUUUAGCCUGUUACAACUUUGGUGCACGUGUUAAUGAAAUCAAAAGGUAUGAAGAAAUAAAGCAAGAUGUAUAAGGAGCCUCA
rnacentral:lncRNA from 1 species